rnacentral:rRNA from 1 species
UCAUUUAUAUUAUUAUUAAUUAUUUAGGUGCAUGAUUUACUUGAAAUAAAUAUAUUUUAAUUUAUUUUUAUACAGAAAAAUUUGGUUUUAUUAUAGUUAAUUUGUUAUGUGAAUGGUAUAAAUUAAAUUCUAAAAAGAAGAUUUAGGGUUGUACCUUGUGUGUCAGGGUUGAUUAAUUAAGUGUAAUUAUUUAUUUUUCUCGAAUUUAAAAGGGCGAAUUAUAUUAAUUUAUUUUUGUUUCAUAAAAAUUGUAAAAAUAUAAUUAGAAAUGAAACGUUAUCGUUUUUAAAUAUAUCUAGUUUCUUAAGAAAAAGGUUAAAUUUUGUUAUUAUUUUUAAAUAAUUUAAUUUGUUAGAUUUAUUUUAGUUUAGUAGUUUUGUUAGAUGGGAUGAGCUUUUUAGCAUAGAUUUAUAAAAAAGGUAUUUUUUUUACUUAAUUUGUAGGAUUAGAAAUUUCUAUUUGUAGAAAUAUGUUAUUAUUUAUUAAGUUUAAGUUAAAAUUUAAUUAAUUUUAGGUUUAUAUUAAGAUAAAUUUUUUAAUUUUAAAUAAGUUUUAAUAAUGAUUGAAUUAGUAUACAUAUAAGUAAAUAUAUUGUUAUUUGGUAGUUUAAAUUAAGGAAUUCGGCAAAUUAAUUUUCACCUGUUUAUUAAAAACAUGUCCUUUUGAGUAUAAUUUAAGGUUUAGUCUGCCCACUGUAAACUGAAGGGCCGCGGUAUUUUGACCGUGCAAAGGUAGCAUAAUCAUUAGUUUUUUAAUUGAAAGCUGGAAUGAAUGGCUGGAUGAAAAAUUAACUGUCUCAGUUUAAUUUAAUUAGAACUUUAUUUUUGGAUCAAAAAGUCCAAAUUUUGUUGAAAGACGAGAAGACCCUAUAGAGUUUUAUAGUUUAUAUAGUAUUUUGAAUUGGUAUAUAUAUAAUUAUAAGUAUAAAUUAUUUGGUUGGGGUGACUGAAAAAUUGAAAAAACUUUUUUUGAUUUAUUACAUUGAUUUAUGAAAAAAUGAUCCAAAUUUAUUGAUUACAAGAAAAAAUUACCUUAGGGAUAACAGCGUAAUCACUUUUUAGAGUUCUUAUCGGAAGAGUGGCUUGCGACCUCGAUGUUGGAUUAAAGUAAGCUUUAGGUGUAGCGGCUUAAAAGUCUUGGUCUGUUCGACCAUAAAAUUUUUACAUGAUCUGAGUUUAAACCGGUGUGAGCCAGGUUGGUUUCUAUCUUUAAUAUACGCAAAUUUUUUAGUACGAAAGGACCAGAAAUUUUAGUUAAACUUUAAAUUAGACAAAAAUUAUUAUUUUGGCAGACUAGUGCGAUAAAUUUA